rnacentral:tRNA from 27 species
GCCGGAAUAGCUCAGUG